GACGAACGCUGGCGGCGUGCUUAACGCAUGCAAGUCGAACGGUGAAGCGCCUUCCUUUUUGGUGGGUGUGGAUGAGUGGCGAACGGGUGAGUAACACGUGAGUAACCUGCCCCCUUCUUCUGGAUAACCGCAUGAAAGUGUGGCUAAUACGGGAUAUUCUGGGUCUGUCGCAUGAUGGGUCUGGGAAAGAUAUUGUUUCGGUGGGGGAUGGGCUCGCGGCCUAUCAGCUUGUUGGUGGGGUGAUGGCCUACCAAGGCGGUGACGGGUAGCCGGCCUGAGAGGGUGGACGGUCACACUGGGACUGAGACACGGCCCAGACUCCUACGGGAGGCAGCAGUGGGGAAUAGGGCACAAUGGGCGCAAGCCUGAUGCAGCGACGCCGCGUGAGGGAUGGAGGCCUGCGGGUUGUGAACCUCUUUCGCCAGUGAAGCAGGCCUGCCUCGUUUGUGGGUGGGUUGACGGUAGCUGGAUAAGAAGCGCCGGCUAACUACGUG
rnacentral:rRNA from 1 species